rnacentral:tRNA from 1 species
AAAACUUUAGUAUAAUGUUAUGUAUUUUUAAUUGCAAAUUAAAAGGUAAAUGGUUUUU